rnacentral:sRNA from 1 species
UAUCAGGACUUCUGUGCAGGGGCCUUUGAUGACCAUGGCCUGCCCUGGAUGAGCGACACAGAAGAGUCCCCAUUCCUGGACCCCGCGCUGCGGAAGAGGGCAGUGAAAGUGAAGCAUGUGAAGCGUCGGGAGAAGAAGUCUGAGAAGAAGAAGGAGGAGCGAUACAAGCGGCAUCGGCAGAAGCAGAAGCACAAGGAUAAAUGGAAACACCCAGAGAGGGCUGAUGCCAAGGACCCUGCGUCACUGCCCCAGUGCCUGGGGCCCGGCUGUGUGCGCCCCGCCCAGCCCAGCUCCAAGUAUUGCUCAGAUGACUGUGGCAUGAAGCUGGCAGCCAACCGCAUCUACGAGAUCCUCCCCCAGCGCAUCCAGCAGUGGCAGCAGAGCCCUUGCAUUGCUGAAGAGCACGGCAAGAAGCUGCUCGAACGCAUUCGCCGAGAGCAGCAGAGUGCCCGCACUCGCCUUCAGGAAAUGGAACGCCGAUUCCAUGAGCUUGAGGCCAUCAUUCUACGUGCCAAGCAGCAGGCUGUGCGCGAGGAUGAGGAGGUGAGCAAGCAGGGGCGCAGCAGAGCAGGGCCGGUACUUUGUCCUUCCCAGCCUUAUUGUUCCUUCCAUUCCAUGCAGAGCAACGAGGGUGACAGUGAUGACACAGACCUGCAGAUCUUCUGUGUUUCCUGUGGGCACCCCAUCAACCCACGUGUUGCCUUGCGCCACAUGGAGCGCUGCUACGCCAAGGUUGGGGUGUCAGACUGAGGGGGCGGACCAUGUGGGAACAUCAGUGGGCCAG